rnacentral:rRNA from 1 species
AUUCCAGCUCCAAUAGCGUAUAUUAAAGUUGUUGCAGUUAAAAAGCUCGUAGUUGAACUUCUUGGCAUCCUUUAAGCUGGCUUCGGUCGUUUCAAGGGUGUCAAUCCGCUAGGGAACUACAUUCGCACUUCACUGUGCGGUGUAAGGAACUGGCAUUUUACUUAGAAAAAAUUAGAGUGUUCAAGGCAGGCUAUCGCCCUGAAUACACAAGCUUGGAAUAAUGAAAUAGGACUAUUUCCAUUUUAUUGGUUAUUGGAUUUAGUAAUGAUUAAUAGGGACAGUUGGGGGCAUUUGUAUUUAAUAGUCAGAGGUGAAAUUCUUGGAUUUAUUAAAGACAAACUUAUGCGAAAGCAUUUGCCAAGGAUGUUUUCAUCG